rnacentral:lncRNA from 1 species
AAAUCCUGCUAACCAACAAACAUUCACAAUCCUAACAUGGAUUAGAACUAAAAAUACUCAACCAAUGCAAGUGCCCUGGAAUAAAAGAAAAUGUUGAAUAUGAUCUGAGAGAUGAAGAUUUGGAAGACAAAGGGACUAAUCUUCAUAGAGUGAAUCAUAUUCAGAAAAGAUAUGUAUGAGUCUGCCACAAGAAAGUGUCAGUGACUAUUCCUCGGAAAGAGAAUUUACUGUAUAUUUGCGACAUUCCUGACGUUGUGCUUGUUCACCCUUGCCA